UACGUAGGGGGCGAGCGUUGUCCGGAAUUAUUGGGCGUAAAGAGCUCGUAGGCGGUGUGUCACGUCGGCCGUGAAAACCUGCAGCUUAACUGUGGGCGUGCGGUCGAUACGGGCAUCACUGGAGUUCGGCAGGGGAGACUGGAAUUCCUGGUGUAGCGGUGAAAUGCGCAGAUAUCAGGAGGAACACCGGUGGCGAAGGCGGGUCUCUGGGCCGAUACUGACGCUGAGGAGCGAAAGCGUGGGGAGCAAACAGG
rnacentral:rRNA from 1 species